AUGGACUCCAAGGAGGAGCACCCGCCCGCCGCCGAAGCCAAUGGCCUCUCCGACCUCAACAAGGAGACCGUCGAUCUGGAGCACAUCCCCGUUGAGGAGGUUUUCGAGCACCUCAGGUGCACCAAGGAGGGCCUCACCACCGAGGGCGCCCAGCAGAGGGUCGAAAUCUUCGGAUACAACAAGCUCGAAGAGAAAAAUGAGAGCAAGAUCCUCAAGUUCCUGGGCUUCAUGUGGAACCCGCUCUCCUGGGUCAUGGAGGCCGCCGCCAUCAUGGCGAUCGCCCUCGCGCACGGUGGAAAGGACCUCAGGGGAAACUCGAUGGGUAUAGACUUCCACGAUUUCGUCGGAAUCGUCAUUCUCUUGGUCGUCAACUCCACCAUCAGCUUCGUAGAGGAAAACAACGCCGGCAAUGCCGCUGCUGCGCUCAUGGCCCGCCUCGCACCAAAGGCUAAGGCUCUGCGUGAUGGCACCUGGAAUGAAUUAGACGCAUCGUUGUUGGUUCCGGGUGAUAUAAUCAGUAUUAAGCUUGGAGACAUCAUUCCUGCUGAUGCGCGUCUACUACAGGGCGAUCCUCUCAAAAUUGAUCAGUCUGCACUGACAGGAGAAUCACUACCCGUAACCAAGCAUCCUGGAGGUGGAGUUUACUCUGGUUCCACUUGUAAGCAGGGUGAAAUAGAAGCAGUUGUUAUUGCCACUGGGAUCCAUACUUUCUUUGGAAAAGCUGCUCACCUCGUUGAGUCAACCACCCAUGUCGGCCACUUUCAGAAGGUUCUCACAUCGAUCGGAAACUUCUGCAUUUGCUCCAUUGCAAUUGGGAUGACUAUCGAGUUAAUCGUCAUGGCGGCUGUUCAACACAGACCGUACCGCCAGACAGUUGAUAACCUUCUGGUGCUUCUGAUUGGAGGGAUUCCAAUUGCGAUGCCCACAGUUCUGUCUGUAACUAUGGCUAUUGGAUCACAUAAGCUUGCACAACAGGGUGCUAUUACCAAGAGAAUGACUGCAAUUGAAGAGAUGGCCGGAAUGGACGUGCUUUGCAGUGACAAAACAGGAACAUUGACACUCAACAAACUGACUGUAGACAACAAUAUAAUUGAGGUUUUUACUAGAGGUUACGAAAAGAGUGAUGUCGUGUUGAUGGCCGCAAGGGCCUCGAGACUGGAGAAUCAGGAUGCUAUUGAUUUCGCUAUUGUUGCCAUGCUUCCAGACCCAAAAGAGGCACGUGCUGGCAUCGAAGAAGUCCAUUUCCUUCCAUUUAACCCAACGGACAAGCGGACAGCUCUCACGUACUUGGAUGCUAAGGGUAAAAUGCACAGGGUUAGCAAAGGUGCUCCUGAACAGAUUCUGAACCUGGCAGCAAAUAAAUCUGAGAUCGAAAGGAAGGUCCAUCAAGUAAUUGACAAUUUUGCUGAGAGGGGGCUGCGGUCGCUUGCUGUUGCAUACCAGGAAGUUCCUGAAGGUACCAAGGAAAGUGCUGGUGGACCCUGGCAAUUUAUUGGUCUUCUCCCACUCUUUGAUCCUCCCCGCCAUGAUAGUGCUGAAACCAUACGCCGAGCUCUAGACCUUGGAGUCAGUGUGAAAAUGAUUACAGGUGAUCAGUUGGCUAUUGGUAAGGAAACUGGGCGGAGGCUAGGAAUGGGCACCAACAUGUAUCCAUCAUCAUCAUUGCUUGGUGACAAAAUAGAUAGUGAUAUCGCGGUCCUAUCAGUGGACGAACUGAUUGAGCAGGCAGAUGGUUUUGCUGGAGUUUUCCCUGAGCACAAAUAUGAAAUUGUCAAGAGGCUCCAAGCCAGAAAGCACAUAUGCGGGAUGACAGGAGAUGGAGUUAAUGAUGCACCUGCUCUGAAGGUAGCGGACAUUGGGAUUGCGGUGGCUGAUGCAACUGAUGCUGCUCGCGGGGCCUCUGAUAUUGUUCUGACAGAGCCUGGGUUGAGUGUGAUCAUCAGUGCUGUUUUAACAAGUCGCGCCAUUUUUCAGCGGAUGAAAAAUUAUACAAUAUACGCUGUAUCUAUAACCAUCCGUAUUGUGCUUGGUUUUUUGCUCUUGGCGUGCCUUUGGAAGUUUGACUUCCCUCCAAUGAUGGUUCUUCUGAUAGCCAUCCUUAAUGAUGGAACCAUUAUGACCAUAUCCAAAGAUAAGGUGAAGCCGUCUCCAUGUCCAGACAGUUGGAAGCUAGCAGAGAUCUUCGCAACAGGAGUGGUACUGGGGGCUUACUUGGCCGUAACAACCGUUCUGUUCUUUUGGGCGGCUUAUAAGACAGACUUUUUUCCGAGACACUUCCGUGUCCGCACGUUGAAUGUAAACAGUAUCGGUCACGACAUGGAGUCGAUCGCCAAGAAUACAGAGAUGCUGGCCUCGGCCGUGUACCUCCAAGUGAGCACCAUCAGCCAGGCCCUGAUAUUCGUGACGCGGUCGAGAGGCUGGUCCUUCACAGAGCGGCCUGGCUUCCUGCUUAUGUUUGCGUUCGUCUUGGCUCAGCUGAUUGCGUCCUUGCUGUCUGCAUUGGUGGACUGGGAGCUGGCCAGCAUCAGAGGCAUCGGGUGGGGCUGGACGGGCGUCAUCUGGCUGUACAACAUCCUCAUCUACAUGCUCCUGGACCCAAUAAAGUUUGCCGUGCGGUACGGUCUCAGCGGGAGGGCCUGGAACCUCGUCACCGACAACAAGGUGGCGUUUUCGAACCAGAAGAACUUUGGGAAGGAGGCGUCGCAGGCGGCGUGGGCGCACGAGCAGCGCACGCUGCACGGGCUGGAGUCGGCGGGGCGGGAGAAGGCGGCGUCCAUGGAGCUGGGCCACAUGGCGGAGGAGACCAAGCGGCGCGCGGAGAUCACGAGGCUGAGGGCGGUGCACACUCUCAAGGGGAAGGUGGAGAACGCCGCCAUGCUCAAGGGCAUCGACCUGGACGACAUCAACAACCAGCAUUACACCGUGUGA
rnacentral:rRNA from 1 species